AUACGUAGGGUGCGAGCGUUGUCCGGAAUUACUGGGCGUAAAGAGCUCGUAGGUGGUUUGUCGCGUCGUCUGUGAAAUUCCGGGGCUUAACUCCGGGCGUGCAGGCGAUACGGGCAUAACUUGAGUACUGUAGGGGAGACUGGAAUUCCUGGUGUAGCGGUGAAAUGCGCAGAUAUCAGGAGGAACACCGGUGGCGAAGGCGGGUCUCUGGGCAUUAACGGACGCUGAGGAGCGAAGGCAUGGGUAGCGAACAGGAUUAGAUACCCUGGUAGUCCAUGCCGUAAACGGUGGGCGCUAGGUGUAGGGGUCUUCCACGACUUCUGUGCCGUAGCUAACGCAUUAAGCGCCCCGCCUGGGGAGUACGGCCGCAAGGCUAAAACUCAAAUGAAUUGACGGGG
rnacentral:rRNA from 1 species